GCGAGAGUGGCGGAAUUGGCAGACGCGCCGGCCUUAGGAGCCGGUGCCUUCGGGCGUGGGGGUUCGAAUCCCCCCUCUCGCA
rnacentral:tRNA from 1 species